rnacentral:rRNA from 1 species
GCCCUACGGGACGCAGCAGUGAGGAAUAUUGGUCAAUGGGCGAGAGCCUGAACCAGCCAAGCCGCGUGAGGGAAGACGGCCCUAUGGGUUGUAAACCUCUUUUGUCGGAGAACAAAACCCGGGACGUGUCCCGGACUGCGUGUAUCCGAAGAAAAAGCAUCGGCUAACUCCGUGCCAGCAGCCGCGGUAAUACGGAGGAUGCGAGCGUUAUCCGGAUUUAUUGGGUUUAAAGGGUGCGUAGGCGGUCCGUUAAGUCAGCGGGAAAAUUGCGGGGCUCAACCCUGUCGAGCCGGUGAAACUGGCAG